rfam:Gaeumannomyces graminis var. tritici R3-111a-1 unplaced genomic scaffold supercont2.2, whole genome shotgun sequence.
GGUCGUAUAGCGCAAUGGUAACGCGUUCGCUUUUGUAGCGGAAAGUCUUAAGUUUAACUCCCGGUACGACUU